UUCUGGUUGAUCCUGGCAGAGGUUACUGCUAUCGAGAUUCGACUAAGCCAUGCGAGUCGAAUGUUCUUCGUGAACAUGGCGAACUGCUCAGUAACACGUGGACAACCUACCCUUGGGUUCGGCAUAGUCCUGGGAAACUGGGGAUAAUACCGGAUAGGUCACAGAUGCUGGAACGCACUGUGGCUCAAAGCUCCGGCGCCCAAGGAUGGGUCUGCGGCCUAUCAGGGUUGUAGUGGGUGUAAUGUACCUACUAGCCUACGACGGGUACGGGUUGUGAGAGCAAGAGCCCGGAGAUGGAUUCUGAGACACGAAUCCAGGCCCUACGGGGUGCAGCAGGCGCGAAAACUUUACAAUGCGGGAAACCGUGAUAAGGGAAUCUCGAGUGCCAGCAUAUAAUGUUGGCUGUCCAGAUGCCUAAAAAGCAUCUGUUAGCAAGGGCCGGGCAAGACCGGUGCCAGCCGCCGCGGUAACACCGGCGGCCCGAGUGGUAACCGCUAUUAUUGGGUCUAAAGGGUCUGUAGCCGGCCAGGUAAGUCCCUUGGGAAAUCUGGCAGCCCAACUGUCAGGCUGCUAGGGGAUACUGUUUGGCUUGGGACCGGGAGAGGUGAGAGGUACCUUGGGGGUGGGGGGAAAUCUUGUAACCUGAAGGACCACCA
rnacentral:rRNA from 1 species